GGGGGGGGGGGGGGGGGGGGGGGGGGGGGGGGGGGGGGGGGGGGGGGGGGGGGGGGGGGGGGGGGGGGGGGGGGGGGACAUUGGGGACACUGGGGACACUGGGGACACUGGGGACAUGGGGACAGUGGGGACAGUGGGGACACUGGGGACACUGGGGACACUGGGGACAUCGGGGACAUUGGGGACAGUGAACGGCCACGAGCCCGCGGGGCCCCCCAAGACCUCGGGGUCACCUCCGAUGACCACGCUGACCACAAGCCCAGUGUCCCCUCCCCCCUGUCCCUCGGUGUCACCUGCCUGCCCCGAGGGUGGGGCUGUGGUGGCACCGGGGGUCACUGUCCCUGUGUCCAGCGGUGUCCCCGUGCCCGGUGCCACUGUCCCCACGUCCAGGGUCACUGUCCCCGUGCCCAGCGGUGUCCCUGUGUCCGGUGCCACUGUCACCGUGUCCAGCGGUGUCCCCGUGCCCAGCGGUGUCCCCGUGUCCAGCGGUGUCCCCGUGUCCGGUGCCACUGUCCCCACGUCCAGGGUCACUGUCCCCGUGCCCAGCGGUGUCCCUGUGUCCGGUGCCACCGUCCCCACCUCUGGGGUCACUGUCACCGUGCCCAGCGGUGUCCCCGUGUCCAGCGGUGUCCCCGUGUCCGGUGCCACUGUCACCGUGUCCAGUGGUGUCCCCGUGCCCAGCGGUGUCCCCGUGCCCGGUGCCACUGUCCCCGUGCCCAGCGGUUGUGUCACACCUGUGUCACCUGAGUGACACCUGUGUGUGAUCUGUGUCCCACCUGUGUCACACCUGUGUCACCUGUGUGUGAUCUGUGUCCCACCUGUGUCACCUGAGUGACACCUGUGUCACUUGUGUGUGAUCUGUGUCCCACCUGUGUCACACCUGUGUCACCUGUGUGUGAUCUGUGUCCCACCUGUGUCACCUGAGUGACACCUGUGUCACUUGUGUGUGAUCUGUGUCCCACCUGUGUCACACCUGUGUCACCUGUGUGUGAUCUGUGUCCCACCUGUGUCACCUGAGUGACACCUGUGUCACUUGUGUGUGAUCUGUGUCCCACCUGUGUCACACCUGUGUCACCUGUGUGUGAUCUGUGUCCCACCUGUGUCACCUGAGUGACACCUGUGUCACUUGUGUGUGAUCUGUGUCCCACCUGUGUCACACCUGUGUCACCUGUGUGUGAUCUGUGUCCCACCUGUGUCACCUGAGUGACACCUGUGUCACUUGUGUGUGAUCUGUGUCCCACCUGUGUCACACCUGUGUCACCUGUGUGUGAUCUGUGUCCCACCUGUGUCACCUGAGUGACACCUGUGUCACUUGUGUGUGAUCUGUGUCCCACCUGUGUCACACCUGUGUCACCUGUGUGUGAUCUGUGUCCCACCUGUGUCACCUGAGUGACACCUGUGUCACUUGUGUGUGAUCUGUGUCCCACCUGUGUCACACCUGUGUCACCUGUGUGUGAUCUGUGUCCCACCUGUGUCACCUGAGUGACACCUGUGUCACUUGUGUGUGAUCUGUGUCCCACCUGUGUCACACCUGUGUCACCUGUGUGUGAUCUGUGUCCCACCUGUGUCACCUGAGUGACACCUGUGUCACUUGUGUGUGAUCUGUGUCCCACCUGUGUCACACCUGUGUCACCUGUGUGUGAUCUGUGUCCCACCUGUGUCACACCUGUGUCACCUGAGUGUCACCUGAGUGUGACGUGUGUCACCUGAGUGUCACACCUGUGUUACCUGUGUCACUCUUGUGUCACCUGUGUGUGACCUGUGUCGCACCUGUGUCACCUGUGUCACACCUGAGUGUCAUUAGUGUCACCUGUCUGUGAUAUGUGUCACCUCAUUGCCACCUGUGUGUCAUUGAUGCCGGCUGUGUCACACCUGAGUGUCACCUGUGUCACACCUGUGUCACCUCAGCGGCACCUGAGUGUUACCUGUGUCACCUGUGUGUCGUUAAUGUCACCUGGUGUCACCUGUCUGUGAUAUGUGUCACCUCAUUGCCACCUGUGUGUCAUUGAUGCCGGCUGUGUCACACCUGAGUGUCACCUGUGUCACACCUGUGUCACCUCAGCGGCACCUGAGUGUUACCUGUGUCACCUGUGUGUCGUUAAUGUCACCUGUGUGUCACCUGCGGCACCCGAUUCCGGCCCAUCCCAAGUUUCCCCAAAUGUCCCCAAAUCCCCCCAAAUGUCCCCAAAUCCCCCCAAAAUGUCCCCAAAUGUCCCCAAAUCCCCUGUCACACCUGUGUCACCUCAGUGACACCUGUGUGUGAUCUGUGUCACCUGAGUCACACCUGUGUUACCUGUGUCACUCUUGUGUCACCUGUGUGUGACCUGUGUCACACCUGUGUCACCUGUGUCACACCUGAGUGUCAUUAAUGUCACCUGUGUGUCACCUGCGUCACCCGAUUCCAGCCCAUCCCAAGUUUCCCCAAAUGUCCCCAAAUCCCCCCAAAAUGUCCCCAAAAUGUCCCCAAAUCUCCCCCAAAAUGUCCCAAAAAUGUCCCCAAAUCCCCCCAAAAUGUCCCCAAAUCCCCCCAAAAUGUCCCCAAAAUGUCCCCAAAAUGUCCCCACAAUGUCCCCCGAUCCCCCCAGCUGAAGAUCUGGUUCAGCGAGCGCGACCUGGAGCGAACCUUCUCGUACCCGUCCGAGGGGGCGGCGCUGGCGGCCUGGGGACCCCCCGAGGAGCCCCCCGGGACCCCCCCGGGGGGGGGGGGGGGGGGGGGGGGGGGGGGGGGGGGGGGGGGGGGGGGGGGGGGGGGGGGGGGGGGGGGGGGGGGGGGGGGGGGGGG
rnacentral:lncRNA from 12 species